GCCCCUUUAGUUCAGUGGUAGAACAGUGGUUUUGUAAACCACAUACGUCAGUUCGAUUCUGGCAGGGGGCU
rfam:Candidatus Niyogibacteria bacterium RIFCSPLOWO2_12_FTLL_41_13 rifcsplowo2_12_scaffold_2806, whole genome shotgun sequence.